UCCCUAGUGGCUCAGACGGUAAAGCGUCUGUCUACAAUGCAGGAGACCCAGGUUCGAUCCCUGGGUCGGGAA
rnacentral:tRNA from 1 species